UACCCCGGUAGUCCAUACCGUAAACGAUGGGUGCUAGUUGUUAAGAGGUUUCCGCCUCCUAGUGACGUAGCAAACGCAUUAAGCACCCCGCCUGAGGAGUACGGCCGCAAGGCUAAAACUUAAAGGAAUUGACGGGGACCCGCACAAGCGGUGGAGCAUGUGGUUUAAUUCGAAGAUACGCGAAAAACCUUACCAGGUCUUGACAUACCAAUGAUCGCUUUUGUAAUGAAAGCUUUUCUUCGGAACAUUGGAUACAGGUGGUGCAUGGUCGUCGUCAGCUCGUGUCGUGAGAUGUUGGGUUAAGUCCCGCAACGA
rnacentral:rRNA from 1 species